ACGCACGUGAUCUAGCGGUUAUGAUGUAUGGUUCCCAACCAUGCCACCCGGGUUCAAUUCCCGGCGUGCGUAC
rnacentral:tRNA from 1 species